rnacentral:rRNA from 1 species
AAUGAACGCUGGCGGCGUGCUUAACACAUGCAAGUCGAACGAGAAAGUCCUUCGGGGCUAGUAAAGUGGCAAACGGGUGAGUAACGCGUGAGAAUUUACCUUUUAGUGAAGGAUACUCCCGAGGAAUCGGGGUUAAUACUGCAUAAGUCUCUACGGAGAGAAAGGCGGCCUCUUUGCUGUCGCUACAAGAUAAGCUUGCGUCCUAUUAGCUAGUUGAUGUGGUAAAGGCGCACCAAGGCAAUGAUGGGUAACCGGCCUGAGAGGGUGUACGGUCACACUGGAACUGAGACACGGUCCAGACUCCUACGGGAGGCAGCAGUGGGGAAUAUUGCACAAUGGGCGAAAGCCUGAUGCAGCGACGCCGCGUGGAGGAAGAAGGUCUUCGGAUUGUAAACUCCUGUUAAAUGGGAAGAAAGACUUCUGGCUAAUACCCAGAGGGGAUGACGGUACCAUUAGAGAGAGCUCCGGCUAACUUCGUGCCAGCAGCCGCAGUAA